GUUAUAGUAUUCGAUGGCCACACAUCUUUUCGACAGCGAAUAGUUCUAUCCACAUUAAGUGGUCGUCCUAUAAAGAUCAAAAACAUAAGGCACAAACAACGGGACCCUGGUGUAGUAGACUAUGAGGUUAGAUUACUUAAACUUCUUGAACAAAUUACAAACGGAACAGUUGUUAAAAUAAGUUAUACGGGGACAUGUAUUAUUUACCGUCCCGGACUUUUAUCACAAAAGCAGAAGGUUGUGUUUAAUUGUGGAAAUGACAGAGCUAUUGGGUAUUUUCUUGAAGCUUUAGUAAUGCUGGCCCCCUUUUGUAAGGAGCCUAUUAACGUUACACUUCAAGGUAUCACGAAUGAUAACGUGGAUCCUUCGGUCGAUAUUAUUAGAACAGUCACUUUACCUCUCCUUAAGCGCUUUGGGAUUGAGGGAGAUAUGCUACUUAAAGUCGUCAAACGAGGC